rnacentral:rRNA from 1 species
UACAGAGGGUGCAAGCGUUGUUCGGAAUUAUUGGGCGUAAAGGGUGCGUAGGCGGUUUGGUAAGUCUUGUGUGAAAUCUACAGGCUCAACUUGUAGUCUGCACGAGAAACUGCCGGGCUUGAGUGUGGGAGAGGUGAGUGGAAUUCCUGGUGUAGCGGUGAAAUGCGUAGAUAUCAGGAGGAACACCUGCGGUGUAGACGGCUUUCUGGACCAUUGCUGACGCUGAGACACGAAAGCGUGGGUAGCAAACAGG